UACGUAGGGGGCUAGCGUUGUCCGGAUUUAUUGGGCGUAAAGCGUCCGCAGGUGGUUAUGCAAGUCUGCUGUCAAAGCGCGAGGCUUAACUUCGUAAAGGCAGUGGAAACUGUGUGACUAGAGGAUGGUAGGGGUCGCGGGAAUUCCCAGUGUAGCGGUGAAAUGCGCAGAUAUCGGGAAGAACACCCGUGGCUAAGGCGGCUCUCUAGUACGGUACUGACGCUGAGACGCGAAAGCGUGGGGAGCGAACAGG
rnacentral:rRNA from 1 species